GCGGUUGUGGCGGAAUGGUAGACGCGCUGGCUUGAGGGGCCAGUGGGAGAAUCUCCCGUGGAAGUUCGACUCUUCUCAGCCGCA
rnacentral:tRNA from 1 species